rnacentral:rRNA from 1 species
AACGAACGCUUGCGGCAGGCUUAACACAUGCAAGUCGAACGCCCCUCCCGGGGAGUGGCAGACGGGUACUGAAUGCGUGGUGAUCUACCCAGUUCUACGGAAUAACCCAGGGAAACUGUUCCGAAUACCGUAUACGCCCUACGGUGUGCAGUGUUAUCGGAAUAGGUUGAGCCCGCGGUUUGUUAGCUAGUUGGUGGGGUAAGGGCCUACCAAGGCGAGGAUGCAUAGCUGGUCUGAGAGGAUGAUCAGCCACACUGGGACUGAGACACGGCCCAGACUCCAUCCAGCAGCAGGAGUGGGGAAUAUUGGACAAUGGGCGCAAGCCUCACACCGACAUGCCGAGAGAGUGAUGAAGGCCUUAGGGUUGUAAAGCUAUUUCAGUGAGGAAGAUAAUGACGGUACCCACAGAAGAAGCCCCGGCUAACUUAAGGCCAGCCGCCGCUGUAACAC